GAUGAACGCUGGCGGCGUGCCUAAUACAUGCAAGUCGAGCGAACAGACGAGGAGCUUGCUCCUCUGACGUUAGCGGCGGACGGGUGAGUAACACGUGGAUAACCUACCUAUAAGACUGGGAUAACUUCGGGAAACCGGAGCUAAUACCGGAUAAUAUAUUGAACCGCAUGGUUCAAUAGUGAAAGACGGUUUUGCUGUCACUUAUAGAUGGAUCCGCGCCGCAUUAGCUAGUUGGUAAGGUAACGGCUUACCAAGGCAACGAUGCGUAGCCGACCUGAGAGGGGGAGGGGCCAACUGGAAAGUGAGCAGCGGUCAAGCCCCCAAGGGGGGGAGGCGGGGGGAAUGUUUCCGAAAGGGGCGAAACCUGAACGGGGAAACGCGGGGGGAGUAAGGAGGGUUUCCGUAUGGUAAAACGUUGUUUUGGGGGAAAAAAAAAUGUGUAGGUAACUAUGCAGGUUUGGAGGGUCCUAAAUAAGAAAGCCAGGGCAAACUACGU
rnacentral:rRNA from 1 species